UACGAAGGGGGCUAGCGUUGCUCGGAAUCACUGGGCGUAAAGCGCACGUAGGCGGCUUUCUAAGUCAGGGGUGAAAUCCUGGAGCUCAACUCCAGAACUGCCUUUGAUACUGGGAAGCUCGAGUCCGGAAGAGGAGAGUGGAAUUCCUGGUGUAGCGGUGAAAUGCGCAGAUAUCAGGAAGAACACCCGUGGCUAAGGCGGCUCUCUAGUACGGUACUGACGCUGAGACGCGAAAGCGUGGGGAGCGAACAGG
rnacentral:rRNA from 1 species